GCCUCUCUCCGCAGCCUGUAGAGGGUUUCCUUCUAGUGUCCUUACAUGGCCUGAAUGUGUGCCUGAGAGAGACCGGCAGAUAUUUUGACUCUCUCUCUCUCUUUUUGUAAUUGUUUAUAUAAGCAGUGAGAGUGUUGGUGGGGGAUAAGUAUGGGAAGCAUAGUAGGAUCCCCUAGGAGUUCAAAGCCACCCCUUUCCAGGACAUCAUUCUUCGGAGCAAGUCAGGCCUUAUAAACACAGACAACCCAGACCCACUCCUCAGAGCCCAUCCUUUGUUUGCU
rnacentral:lncRNA from 1 species